UACGUAGGGUGCGAGCGUUAAUCGGAAUUACUGGGCGUAAAGCGUGCGCAGGCGGUUAUGCAAGACAGAUGUGAAAUCCCCGGGCUCAACCUGGGAACUGCAUUUGUGACUGCAUGGCUGGAGUGCGGCAGAGGGGGAUGGAAUUCCGCGUGUAGCAGUGAAAUGCGUAGAUAUCAAGAGGAACACCAGUGGCGAAGGCGAGUCCCUGGACGAUACCUGACACUGAGGCACGAAAGCCGGGGGAGCAAACAGG
rnacentral:rRNA from 1 species